rnacentral:rRNA from 1 species
CAUGCAAGUCUAACGAGCGAGAGAGAGCUUGCUUUCUCGAGCGAGCGGCGAACGGGUGAGUAACGCGUGAGGAACCUGCCUCAAAGAGGGGGACAACAGUUGGAAACGACUGCUAAUACCGCAUAAGCCCACGGCUCGGCAUCGAGCAGAGGGAAAAGGAGCAAUCCGCUUUGAGAUGGCCUCGCGUCCGAUUAGCUAGUUGGUGAGGUAACGGCCCACCAAGGCGACGAUCGGUAGCCGGACUGAGAGGUUGAACGGCCACAUUGGGACUGAGACACGGCCCAGACUCCUACGGGAGGCAGCAGUGGGGAAUAUUGCACAAUGGGGGAAACCCUGAUGCAGCGACGCCGCGUGGAGGAAGAAGGUCUUCGGAUUGUAAACUCCUGUUGUUGAGGAAGAUAAUGACGGUACUCAACAAGGAAGUGACGGCUAACUACGUGCCAGCAGCCGCGGUAAAACGUAGGUCACAAGCGUUGUCCGGAAUUACUGGGUGUAAAGGGAGCGCAGGCGGGAAGACAAGUUGGAAGUGAAAUCCAUGGGCUCAACCCAUGAACCGCUUUCAAAACUGUUUUUCUUGAGUAGUGCAGAGGUAGGCGGAAUUCCCGGUGUAGCGGUGGAAUGCGUAGAUAUCGGGAGGAACACCAGUGGCGAAGGCGGCCUACUGGGCACCAACUGACGCUGAGGCUCGAAAGUGUGGGUAGCAAACAGGAUUAGAUACCCUGGUAGUCCACACUGUAAACGAUGAUUACUAGGUGUUGGAGGAUUGACCCCUUCAGUGCCGCAGUUAACACAAUAAGUAAUCCACCUGGGGAGUACGACCGCA